rnacentral:rRNA from 1 species
UACAGAGGGGGCAAGCGUUGUUCGGAAUUACUGGGCGUAAAGGGCGCGUAGGCGGCCUGUUAAGUCGAACGUGAAAUCCCCGGGCUCAACCCGGGAACUGCGUCCGAUACUGGCAGGCUUGAAUUCGGGAGAGGGAUGUGGAAUUCCAGGUGUAGCGGUGAAAUGCGUAGAUAUCUGGAGGAACACCGGUGGCGAAGGCGGCUUUCUGGACGGUAACUGACGCUGAGACGCGAAAGCGUGGGGAGCAAACAGG